rnacentral:ncRNA from 1 species
CGACCCCAGAUUAGGCAAGAACACUCAUUGAGUUUAAGCAUAUAAUUAAGCAGAGGAAAAUAUACUUAAAAGGAUUCACCUAGUUAUGGCGAGCGAACUAGGAAGAGCCAAACAUGAAAAUUGGGUGGCAGUGAUGCCUGAAUUGUAUUCUGUAUAAGCAUCCUUAGUGGUGGACCGGGUCCAAGUCCCGUGGAAGGGGGUGCCUGAGAGGGUGACAUCCCUGUCGGGUCAGGACCCUGCCACACCAUGAGGCGUUGUCGACGAGUUGGGUUUUUUGGGAAUGUAUCCCUAAUCAAGUGGUAAAUUUCGUCCUAGGCUAAAUAUAGGUGAGAGACCGAUAGCGAACAAGUACCGCAAGGGAAAUAUGAAAAGGACUUUGAAAAUAGAGUUAAAGAGUGCUUGAAAUUGUCGGGAGGGAAGAGGAUGGAGGCCGAUGAUUCGUCUCGAUCAAAUGCAGAAUGACUCAAGUUGGUCUGCUGCUCGACUCAAGGUGCGAACCAACACAAGUCAUUGCAUCGACACAAGAAGAUUUGUAAAUAUUUAUGAAGGUAUUGGAUCCAUUAAUGACUCCUUAGUAUUGUUGAUGACUUGAAUACGUUUUGAAAUCACCAAGAAGCCAUGCAAGAAAAUCAAUGUUGCAUAGAAUAAGAGUUUGAUUUUCUUUAUGAGUUAAAAAUUUAGUAACUGAACCUUCAUCAUUGAAGUAAGAAAAGAAAGGU